UUAAGUCAACAUGACUGACUUAUUUUGGUCCAUACACACAAUACUCGAUGGAUGUGUUUUCAAAGUUAAAUAGUAAAAUAUGUAAAUAAAUAUAGAAAUAUUUGACGCCGUCCGACGUACGAUAUCAGUUAAACGAAUCACCUUUGAGAGAUAUGGUCACGCCACCACGUCAUAGCUUACUUCUCACUAAACAAAAGCCGCCACUGUAUAAAAGGACGUACUGAUACUUCGUUCAGGCACAACGAAAUUUUUGUGCAAAUACAAUUUUCUUUUCACUUUACACCUCAAAAAACCAACAAAAAAACCAAAAAUGGGCGCUGAAAAAGUUACCAUGAACAUCGUCAUCGUCGGACAAGUCCAAUCUGCCAAGGCCAUCAAAUCGGUUGCCAAAGCCACUCCGGCCACCAGCCAAUUGAUGAACUGUUAAUUCAAGUCCACAUCAUUUCAAACUAAAAAAUGCCAUAGCCGAAACAGUACAUAAUUUGUUUUAAUUAUAAUAAUGUGUAUUGACAUUGCAAAAUAAAUCAGUCUCUUCCGUCAGUAAAA